rnacentral:misc_RNA from 1 species
GAUGAAGAACGUAGCGAAAUGCGAUAAGUAAUGUGAAUUGCAGAAUUCAGUGAAUCAUCGAAUCUUUGAACGCACAUUGCGCCCGCCAGUAUUCUGGCGGGCAUGCCUGUUCGAGCGUCAUUUCAACCCUCAAGCCCGGCUUGGUGUUGGAGUUCUGUUUGUUUAAAACAGGCUCUGAAAUACAGUGGCGAGCUCACCUGGACUCCGAGCGUAGUAGUUAACGUCGCUCAGGGCGUCCGGCGGGUUUCUGCCGCAAAAUCCCCUAUUUUACAGAAAGGUUGACCUCGGAUCAGGUAGGAAUACCCGCUGAACUUAAGCAUAUCAAUAAGCGGAGGA